GCAUCAGUAAAGUCAGGAACAGGAGAGUCAGAUGGAGGGAAAUGAGAGGAGGAAGCAUGUAUAAGAAAAUCAGUGUCAAGGGAAUGUUCAGCAGGAGGAAUAGAAGGAAAAGAUGAAGGAGAAGGGUGAUCAAAAGAAGGAUUAUUCUUAAAAGGAAAACAAGUUUCAUGGAAUACAACAUCCCUGGAGACAAAACACUUCUUGGAAACCAAAUCAUACAGUUUAUAACCCUUUUUGGAAAAGGGGUAACCCAGAAAAACACAAGAGAAGGCUCUAGGCUUUAACUUGUCCCUUUGAUUGGAAACCAAAUGAUACAGUUUAUAACCCUUUUUGGAAAAGGGGUAACCCAGAAAAACACAAAAGAAGGCUCUAGGCUUUAACUUGUCCCUUUGAGGAAUAGGGACAGC
rnacentral:lncRNA from 1 species